rnacentral:rRNA from 1 species
UACAGAGGGUGCAAGCGUUGUUCGGAAUUAUUGGGCGUAAAGGGCGCGUAGGCGGUUUUGUAAGUCAGCUGUGAAAGCCCGGGGCUCAACCCCGGAGGGUCGGCUGAUACUGCAGGACUAGAGUACGGAAGAGGUAGCUGGAAUUCCCGGUGUAGCGGUGAAAUGCGUAGAUAUCAGGAAGAACACCCGUGGCUAAGGCGGCUCUCUAGUACGGUACUGACGCUGAGACGCGAAAGCGUGGGGAGCGAACAGG